AGUGAACGCUGGCGGUAGGCCUAACACAUGCAAGUCGAACGGCAGCACAGGAGAGCUUGCUCUCUGGGUGGCGAGUGGCGGACGGGUGAGGAAUACAUCGGAAUCUACUCUGUCGUGGGGGAUAACGUAGGGAAACUUACGCUAAUACCGCAUACGACCUACGGGUGAAAGCAGGGGACCUUCGGGCCUUGCGCGAUUGAAUGAGCCGAUGUCGGAUUAGCUAGUUGGCGGGGUAAAGGCCCACCAAGGCGACGAUCCGUAGCUGGUCGGAGAAGAUAAGCAGCCACACUGGAACGGGGACACGGUCCAGACUCCUACGGGAGGCAGCAGUGGGGAAUAUUGGACAAUGGGCGCAAGCCUGAUCCAGCCAUACCGCGUGGGUGAAGAAGGCCUUCGGGUUGUAAAGCCCUUUUGUUGGGAAAGAAAUCCAGCUGGCUAAUACCCGGUUGGGAUGACGGUACCCAAAGAAUAAGCACCGGCUAACUUCGUGCCAGCAGCCGCCGCUG
rnacentral:rRNA from 1 species